GUCGACGGCAGCACAGUAAGAGCUUGCUCUUAUGGGUGGCGAGUGGCGGACGGGUGAGGAAUACAUCGGAAUCUACCUUUUCGUGGGGGAUAACGUAGGGAAACUUACGCUAAUACCGCAUACGACCUUCGGGUGAAAGCAGGGGACCUUCGGGCCUUGCGCGGAUAGAUGAGCCGAUGUCGGAUUAGCUAGUUGGCGGGGUAAAGGCCCACCAAGGCGACGAUCCGUAGCUGGUCUGAGAGGAUGAUCGCCACACUGGAACUGAGACACGGUCCAGACUCCUACGGGAGGC
rnacentral:rRNA from 1 species